rnacentral:rRNA from 1 species
GACGAACGCUGGCGGCGUGCCUAAUACAUGCAAGUAGAACGCACAGUUUAUACCGUAGCUUGCUACACCAUAGACUGUGAGUUGCGAACGGGUGAGUAACGCGUAGGUAACCUGCCUGGUAGCGGGGGAUAACUAUUGGAAACGAUAGCUAAUACCGCAUAAUAUUGAAUAUUGCAUGAUAAUUGAUUGAAAGAUGCUAUUGCAUCACUACCAGAUGGACCUGCGUUGUAUUAGCUAGUAGGUGAGGUAACGGCUCACCUAGGCGACGAUACAUAGCCGACCUGAGAGGGUGAUCGGCCACACUGGGACUGAGACACGGCCCAGACUCCUACGGGAGGCAGCAGUAGGGAAUCUUCGGCAAUGGACGAAAGUCUGACCGAGCAACGCCGCGUGAGUGAAGAAGGUUUUCGGAUCGUAAAGCUCUGUUGUAAGAGAAGAACGGGUGUGAGAGUGGAAAGUUCACACUGUGACGGUAUCUUACCAGAAAGGGACGGCUAACUACGUG